rnacentral:rRNA from 1 species
AAAGAGCUCGUAGGCGGCUAGUCGCGUCGGCUGUGAAAACCUGGGGCUCAACCCCGGGCCUGCAGCCGAUACGGGCUAGCUAGAAUUCGGUAGGGGAGACUGGAAUUCCUGGUGUAGCGGUGAAAUGCGCAGAUAUCAGGAGGAACACCGGUGGCGAAGGCGGGUCUCUGGGCCGAUAUUGACGCUGAGGAGCGAAAGCGUGGGGAGCAAACAGGAUUAGAUACCCUUGU